AGCGGUAAAAAAAUCGAGUAGAUACAAUUAAAAAUAUUUUGCUCUUACUACCAACAGACACUAUUUUGUCCGAAUACAGCAUGAAUGGUCUAAAGAAAAAAAAAAAGUUUAAAGAAUUGACAAGUCUAUGUAAUGCUGAAACUGCUUUAAAGUCAAAUAAAAACAAAAUGGAUGCCAUCCAUCCAACUUAUUGGGAGAGUAAUUAGGAAUUCUUCUGACCGAUUAAAGAAAACAUCCACUAAUAUGAAUAUCGAUCAAUGAUCGGCUUAA